AAGUCGUAACAAGGUCUCCGUAGGUGAACCUGCGGAGGGAUCAUUAACACGUUUCUUACAACGUUUCCACACCAACCCGUGAACACUGUAAAUGCUAUAUUCUACCUGAGAGUAGGGGCGAUAUGCCUGCUUGAUAUGUGCUUAGUGAUGGGCGUUAGAGUCAAAUCUAAUGCGAGUGCAUUCGAGCUGUAGAAAGUGCUGCAACUUUCAAGGCUUCUCCUUCUUUCGGGCUAAUUCCUACCAUCUACUCUCCUUCAUUCACUGAGAGUUUAUGGUUUAACAAACCACUUUCACCCCUUUCUAACUACUUGACUGAUCAAUGUUUUGAUUUGUAAUCGAAUCGAAACUAGUUUAAAUCAACAUAUCUAAGCACAACUCUUAGCAACGGAUAUCUUGGUUCUC
rnacentral:misc_RNA from 1 species